rnacentral:lncRNA from 1 species
CUCAUCGAGGGUUCCAGCCAGUGGAGCCAGCAAUACAGGAAGUGGCUUUUGAAGUUGCCAGAGGCUGGGAAGGCAGCUCCAAGACAGGCCCAGCUCCUCCAGGUGGCAGGAUGGGAAGGAACUGGCGAAGCAUUCUGGACGCACCGCCCUCAUUUGGCGGAGCAGCCUGAGGGGCAGCAGAGGCCGCGGGGGCGUUCCGGAAAGGCGAGAAGAGGGAUGCGGUCAAUGCUGCCCUGCCAGCCCGGCACAAAUUAUUCAUGGGCGGCAUCGGAGUCUUGGAAGGAUCCCUGGCUGGCGCGGAGGUCUCGGUGAGACCUUGGUGAACGCUCCCUGGCUUCCUGAGCACACGUGACUGUCCGCGGGACACCGGGCAGUGUUGCGCGCUCUGACCAGAUGGUCACUGGGAACAAAUUCCAGUCCUCUGCAGCGAGGCAGGGUGUAGACAGACAGAGUGACAGAUGCCAAUAAACCCAAAGGCAUCAGGGAGCCCACUGAGGCCCAGGCAAGGAAAGCCCCGUGCCAGACAUGGAG